rnacentral:rRNA from 1 species
UGGGGAAUAUUGGACAAUGGGCGAAAGCCUGAUCCAGCCAUGCCGCGUGUGUGUAGAAGGUCUCCGGUUUGUAAAGCAUUUCAAGUUGGGAGGAAGGGCAGUAAGCGAAUACCUUGCUGUUUUGACGUUACCGACAGAAUAAGCACCGGCUAACUCUGUGCCAGCAGCCGCGGUAAUACAGAGGGUGCGAGCGUUAAUCGGAUUUACUGGGCGUAAAGCGUGCGUAGGUGGUUCGUUAAGUUGAAUGUGAAAGCCCCGGGCUCAACCUGGGAACUGCAUCCAAAACUGGCGAGCUAGAGUAGGGCAGAGGGUGGUGGAAUUUCCUGUGUAGCGGUGAAAUGCGUAGAUAUAGGAAGGAACACCAGUGGCGAAGGCGACCACCUGGGCUCAUACUGACACUGAGGUGCGAAAGCGUGGGGAGCAAACAGG